rnacentral:tRNA from 1 species
UUAGCUGAAACCAAACAGAGGUGAAUCACUGUUAAUGAUUUAAUUGAGAGAUCCUGCUGUU